UGGGGAAUAUUGCACAAUGGGCGGAAGCCUGAUGCAGCGACGCCGCGUGAGGGAUGACGGCCUUCGGGUUGUAAACCUCUUUCAGCAGGGACGAAGCGUAAGUGACGGUGCCUGCAGAAGAAGCACCGGCUAACUACGUGCCAGCAGCCGCGGUAAUACGUAGGGUGCGAGCGUUGUCCGGAAUUACUGGGCGUAAAGAGCUCGUAGGCGGUUUGUCACGUCGUCUGUGAAAUCCUAGGGCUUAACCCUGGACGUGCAGGCGAUACGGGCUGACUUGAGUACUACAGGGGAGACUGGAAUUUCUGGUGUAGCGGUGGAAUGCACAGAUAUCAGGAAGAACACCGAUGGCGAAGGCAGGUCUCUGGGUAGUAACUGACGCUGAGGAGCGAAAGCAUGGGUAGCGAACAGG
rnacentral:rRNA from 2 species